rnacentral:rRNA from 1 species
GAUGAACGCUAGCGAUAGGCUUAACACAUGCAAGUCGAGGGGCAGCAUGGUCUUAGCUUGCUAAGACUGAUGGCGACCGGCGCACGGGUGCGUAACGCGUAUGCAACUUGCCUCACAGAGGGGGAUAACCCGUCGAAAGACGGACUAAUACCGCGUACACUCCACCUUGGGCAUCCAAGGAGGAGGAAAUGAACUUCGCUGUGAGAUAGGCAUGCGUCCCAUUAGCUUGUUGGUGAGGUAACGGCUCACCAAGGCGACGAUGGGUAGGGGAACUGAGAGGUUGAACCCCCACACUGGUACUGAGACACGGACCAGACUCCUACGGGAGGCAGCAGUGAGGAAUAUUGGUCAAUGGGCGAGAGCCUGAACCAGCCAAGUCGCGUGAAGGAUGACUGUCUUAUGGAUUGUAAACUUCUUUUAUACGGGAAUAACAAGAGUCACGUGUGACUCCCUGCAUGU